AACGCGAAGAACCUUACCUGGGCUUGAACUACUGGUAGUAAGCUUUUGGAAACAUUAGCUGAUCCGCAAGGGCUGCUAUGUAGGUGCUGCAUGGCUGUCGUCAGCUCGUGCCGUGAGGUGUUGGGUUAAGUCCCGCAACGAGCGCAACCCUUAUCAUUAGUUGCCAACACGCAAGGUGGGGACUCUAGUGAGACUGCCCAGGUUAACUGGGAGGAAGGUGAGGAUGACGUCAAGUCCGCAUGGCCUUUAUGUCUGGGGCUACACACGUUCUACAAUGGCUGGUACAGAAGGCAGCAAAGCCGUAAGGUGGAGCAAAUCCGUAAAGCCAGUCUCAGUUCAGAUUGUGGUCUGCAACUCGACCACAUGAAGCUGGAAUUGCUAGUAAUGACGUGUCAGCAACAACGUCGUGAAUACGUUCCCGGGCCUUGUACACACCGGUACUA
rnacentral:rRNA from 1 species